rnacentral:rRNA from 1 species
UACGGGGGGAGCAAGCGUUGUUCGGAUUUACUGGGCGUAAAGGGCGCGUAGGCGGCCAGCGCAAGUCAGUUGUGAAAUCUCCGGGCUUAACUCGGAACGGUCAACUGAUACUGCGCGGCUAGAGUGCGGAAGGGGCAACUGGAAUUCUCGGUGUAGCGGUGAAAUGCGUAGAUAUCGGGAGGAACACCUGUGGCGAAGGCGGCCACCUGGUUGGAUACUGACGCUGAGACGCGAAAGCGUGGGGAGCAAACAGG